GAUGAACGCUAGCGGCAGGCCUAAUACAUGCAAGUCGGACGGGAUUCAGGAGCUUGCUUCUGAUGAGAGUGGCGCACGGGUGCGUAACACGUAUGUAACCUACCUUUAUCAGGGGGAUAGCCUCUCGAAAGAGAGAUUAAGCCCGCAUAAAAUCACAGCACAGCAUUGUGUAAUGAUCAAAUAUUUAUAGGAUAAAGAUGGGCAUGCGGAACAUUAGCUAGAUGGCGGGGUAACGGCCCACCAUGGCGACGAUGUUUUGGGGAUCUGAGAGGAUGGCCCCCCACACUGGUACUGAGACACGGACCAGACUCCUACGGGAGGCAGCAGUAAGGAAUAUUGGUCAAUGGGCGGAAGCCUGAACCAGCCAUGCCGCGUGCAGGAAGACGGCCCUACGGGUUGUAAACUGCUUUUAUACGGGAAUAAACCCAGAUACGUGUAUCUGGCUGAAUGUACUGUAAGAAUAAGGAUCGGCUAACUCCGUG
rnacentral:rRNA from 1 species